GUUUGUGUCUCCAUGGACUGGGCUUCUCCCUGUUUAUCAGAGGCUGAUCAGAGACUAGGGAGCGGCAUCAAGUGCUUCCAUGUGCUGCCCUGCCAGUGAGUCCCAGCCCUGACCUGGAGGGACCAUCCCUGGGCGUGAGAAGGCAGCUCAGGCUCCACACCUUUGAAACCUUUGGCAUCU
rnacentral:sRNA from 14 species